rnacentral:misc_RNA from 1 species
UACGGAGGGUGCAAGCGUUGUCCGGAUUUAUUGGGUUUAAAGGGUACGUAGGCGGAAUGCUAAGUCCGAGGUGAAAGCCCACCGCUCAACGGUGGAAUUGCCUUGGAUACUGGUAAUCUUGAGUGCCGUAGAAGUAGGCGGAAUUCAUGGUGUAGCGGUGAAAUGCAUAGAUACCAUGAGGAACACCGAUAGGGAAGCCAGCUUACUGGACGGUGACUGACGCUGAGGUACGAAAGCGUGGGGAGCGAACAGG